GCCCGUAAGGUGUACAAUCGAAGAACCUCACUCCAGUUUGUCUCAUUUUAUAUUCUCUCCUUUUUUCCUUCUCAAGGAAGACACGAGGGUAACCAAAAGCUACUAGAAAAUACUCUAAACUGCCCAGCCUUUUUUUUUUUUUCCUCCGAAAGGACAUUGGAGGCCUUGAAGGAAAAGCCAUCAGGAGCUCACUCAGAAUUACAGAGCUAUCCAGUGGGAAAAUACCCUAGAGACCGCCUUCACAGAUGCAGCUUAGCCAUCAGGAGAUCCAUCAAGAAUGACCCAGAAGAACUCGAAGCUUUGUUCCAGGGCCAAUGUGUAUACCCAAGUGCCUGACGGAGGAUGGGGCUGGGUGGUAGCUGCUUCCUUUUUCUUCAUUGAAGUCUUUACCUAUGGCGUCAUUAAGUCGUUUGGUGUCUUCUUCAAUGACUUGAUGGACAGUUUUGACGAAUCUAACAGCAAGAUCUCAUGGAUAAUAUCGAUAUGCGUAUUCAUAAUGACAUUCACAGCUCCCCUCUCCACAAUCCUGACCAACCGCUUCGGACAUCGGCUGGUAGUGAUGGGAGGGGGGCUCCUCAUCAGCGUGGGAAUGAUUGCUGCCUCCUUCUCCCAGAGGGUCUACCAGAUGUACAUCUCCAUAGGGAUCGUCUCUGGUUUGGGGUACUGCUUUAGUUUCCUCCCGACUGUGACCAUUCUGUCGCAGUACUUUGACAAAAGGCGUUCGAUGGUCACUGCGGU
rnacentral:lncRNA from 1 species